rnacentral:rRNA from 1 species
AUUGAACGCUGGCGGCAGGCCUAACACAUGCAAGUCGAGCGGAUGAAGGGAGCUUGCUCCUGGAUUCAGCGGCGGACGGGUGAGUAAUGCCUAGGAAUCUGCCUGGUAGUGGGGGAUAACGUCCGGAAACGGGCGCUAAUACCGCAUACGUCCUGAGGGAGAAAGUGGGGGAUCUUCGGACCUCACGCUAUCAGAUGAGCCUAGGUCGGAUUAGCUAGUUGGUGGGGUAAAGGCCUACCAAGGCGACGAUCCGUAACUGGUCUGAGAGGAUGGUCAGCCACACUGGAACUGAGACACGGUCCAGACUCCUACGGGAGGCAGCAGUGGGGAAUAUUGGACAAUGGGCGAAAGCCUGAUCCAGCCAUGCCGCGUGUGUGAAGAAGGUCUUCGGAUUGUAAAGCACUUUUAGUUGGGAGGAAGGGCAGUAAGUUAAUACCUUGCUGUUUUGACGUUACCAACAGAAUAAGCACCGGCUAACUUCGUG